rnacentral:rRNA from 1 species
ACGAGACACGUGAAACCUUGUGGGAAGCAGGGAGGACCACCUCCCAAGGCUAAAUACUACCUGAUGACCGAUAGUGAAGCAGUACCGUGAGGGAAAGGUGAAAAGAACCCCGGGAGGGGAGUGAAAUAGAACCUGAAACCGUGUGCCUACAACCGCUCAGAGCCCCUUAUGAGGGUGAUGAGGUGCUUUUUGUAGAACGAGCCAACGAGUUACGGUAUGUAGCAAGGUUAAGUACUUAAGGUACGGAGCCGAAGGGAAACCGAGUCUGAAUAGGGCGACUAGUUGCAUGCCGUAGACCCGAAACCGGGUGACCUAUCCAUGGCCAGGUUGAAGCGAGGGUAAAACCUCGUGGAGGACCGAACCACGUUGCUGUUGAAAAAGCAUGGGAUGAGCUGUGGAUAGCGGAGAAAUUCCAAUCGAACCCGGAGAUAGCUGGUUCUCU